AGAUUCACUCUUUGAAGAAUUUAUCUCCCACUGAUUGGUUCUCUGGCUGACUGCUGUUGCCUGCUCUGAAGUUGACCUCAUGAUUUGCAAUGCAUUCUGAGGUUGCCCUUUGCUGUUGGUGUGCUUCCCACCUACACAGGCCCUGAUCAGCCCACCAAGCCAAUUGCCACUACUCG